rnacentral:misc_RNA from 1 species
GUGAAUCAUCGAAUUUUUGAACGCAUAUUGCACUAUCUGGUAUUCCGGAGAGUAUGCCUAUUUGAGGGUCAUUUGAAAUAAUAAAAAUUUCGAUAUUUUUUUGAAACCAAUAAUGGGUCGGUCAAGCUUUCGCGUUGUGGUAGUCUAAAUUGCAAGACAAGCACAUUUCUUGGGUUGCGUGAGACCUUCAGUUUCCUGGUUACUUAACCAGGAAUCACCGCGCUUGUUUUGAGUUUUGCCAUAGAGAAAUAAU